CUUUUAUGGAGAGUUUGAUCCUGGCUCAGAGUGAACGCUGGCGGCGUGCCUAAUACAUGCAAGUCGAACGAUGAAGCUUCUAGCUUGCUAGAAUGCUGAUUAGUGGCGCACGGGUGAGUAACGCAUAGGUCAUGUGCCUCUUAGUUUGGGAUAGCCAUUGGAAACGAUGAUUAAUACCAGAUACUCCCUACGGGGGAAAGAUUUAUCGCUAAGAGAUCAGCCUAUGUCCUAUCAGCUUGUUGGUAAGGUAAUGGCUUACCAAGGCUAUGACGGGUAUCCGGCCUGAGAGGGUGAACGGACACACUGGAACUGAGACACGGUCCAGACUCCUACGGGAGGCAGCAGUAGGGAAUAUUGCUCAAUGGGGGAAACCCUGAAGCAGCAACGCCGCGUGGAGGAUGAAGGUUUUAGGAUUGUAAACUCCUUUUGUUAGAGAAGAUAAUGACGGUAUCUAACGAAUAAGCACCGGCUAACUCCGUGCCAGCAGCCGCGGUAAUACGGAGGGUGCAAGCGUUACUCGGAAUCACUGGGCGUAAAGAGCGCGUAGGCGGGAUAGUCAGUCAGGUGUGAAAUCCUAUGGCUUAACCAUAGAACUGCAUUUGAAACUACUAUUCUAGAGUGUGGGAGAGGUAGGUGGAAUUCUUGGUGUAGGGGUAAAAUCCGUAGAGAUCAAGAGGAAUACUCAUUGCGAAGGCGACCUGCUGGAACAUUACUGACGCUGAUUGCGCGAAAGCGUGGGGAGCAAACAGGAUUAGAUACCCUGGUAGUCCACGCCCUAAACGAUGGAUGCUAGUUGUUGGAGGGCUUAGUCUCUCCAGUAAUGCAGCUAACGCAUUAAGCAUCCCGCCUGGGGAGUACGGUCGCAAGAUUAAAACUCAAAGGAAUAGACGGGGACCCGCACAAGCGGUGGAGCAUGUGGUUUAAUUCGAAGAUACACGAAGAACCUUACCUAGGCUUGACAUUGAGAGAAUCCGCUAGAAAUAGUGGAGUGUCUGGCUUGCCAGACCUUGAAAACAGGUGCUGCACGGCUGUCGUCAGCUCGUGUCGUGAGAUGUUGGGUUAAGUCCCGCAACGAGCGCAACCCCCUUUCUUAGUUGCUAACAGGUCAUGCUGAGAACUCUAAGGAUACUGCCUCCGUAAGGAGGAGGAAGGUGGGGACGACGUCAAGUCAUCAUGGCCCUUACGCCUAGGGCUACACACGUGCUACAAUGGGGUGCACAAAGAGAAGCAAUACUGCGAAGUGGAGCCAAUCUUCAAAACACCUCUCAGUUCGGAUUGUAGGCUGCAACUCGCCUGCAUGAAGCUGGAAUCGCUAGUAAUCGCAAAUCAGCCAUGUUGCGGUGAAUACGUUCCCGGGUCUUGUACUCACCGCCCGUCACACCAUGGGAGUUGUGUUUGCCUUAAGUCAGGAUGCUAAAUUGGCUACUGCCCACGGCACACACAGCGACUGGGGUGAAGUCGUAACAAGGUAACCGUAGGUGAACCUGCGGUUGGAUCACCUCCUUUCU
rnacentral:rRNA from 1 species